rnacentral:rRNA from 1 species
AUACGUAGGGUGCGAGCGUUGUCCGGAAUUACUGGGCGUAAAGAGCUCGUAGGUGGUUUGUCGCGUCGUCUGUGAAAUUCCGGGGCUUAACUCCGGGCGUGCAGGCGAUACGGGCAUAACUUGAGUACUGUAGGGGAGACUGGUAUUCCUGGUGUAGCGGUGAAAUGCGCAGAUAUCAGGAGGAACACCGGUGGCGAAGGCGGGUCUCUGGGCAGUAACUGACGCUGAGGAGCGAAAGCAUGGGUAGCGAACAGGAUUAGAUACCCUGGUAGUCCAUGCCGUAAACGGUGGGCGCUAGGUGUAGGGGUCUUCCACGACUUCUGUGCCGUAGCUAACGCAUUAAGCGCCCCGCCUGGGGAGUACGGCCGCAAGGCUAAAACUCAAAUGAAUUGACGGGG